rnacentral:lncRNA from 10 species
AUCCCGGAAGUUGAUGCCGAGCGCAGAUCGCUUGCAGCUUGCUAGCUGUGUGGGCUGGGAGGUCUGGUAGGGCUGAGCUUGCAAGAGGAUCAACAUGCCUUUGGCUAGAGAUUUACUACAUCCGUCCUUGGAAGAGGAAAAGAAAAAACAUAAAAAGAAACGCCUAGUACAAAGUCCAAAUUCUUACUUUAUGGAUGUAAAAUGUCCAGGUUGCUACAAGAUCACCACGGUUUUCAGCCAUGCUCAGACAGUGGUUCUUUGUGUAGGUUGUUCAACAGUGUUGUGCCAGCCUACAGGAGGAAAGGCCAGACUCACAGAAGGUAUAUCAUUUGGCAUUCUCCAACCCAGUGAUGAGAUUGAUGAUUAUAAAUGUCUCUAUCUUCACUGAAAAGUUUAAAGAAAUCUUAAUGAUUACCAAAAUAACUUAUCUUUCAUUGUGUGCUUUCAGUAAAGAAUGGCCUGUUCAAAUGGAUAUAUUUAUACUCUUGACCUUGCAGUGAACUCCAUUGACUUAUUUUUCUUAGUUUAGAACACAUUUAUUCACUUAGUUUGCUUAACUUGGAAUAAAUUAAGUCAGAAUAGAAGCAAAAGAAUAACUACAUGUUAUAGGACAUGCAGAUUUAUUUAUUUAUUUAUUUAUUAUUUUUUUUUUUUAUUAGGAGUCUCGCUCUGUCACCCAGGCUGGAGUGCAGUGGCGCCAUCUCAGCUCACUGCAACUUCUGCCUCCCCGGUUCAAGUGAUUCUCUUGCCUCUGCCUCCCAAGUAGCUGGGACCACAGGCGCGUGCCACCAUGCCUGGCUAAUUUUUUGUAUUUUUAGUAGAGGUGGGGUUUCACUGUGUUAGCCAGGAUGGUCUUGAUCUCCUGACCUCAUGGUCUGCCCGCCUCGGCCUCCCAAAGUGCUGGGAUUACAGGCAUGAGCCACCUCGCCGGCCAGGACAUACAGAUUUUUAAAACCAUAUAGAAUUUUAA